UACGAAGGGUGCGAGCGUUAUUCGGAAUUAUUGGGCGUAAAGGGUUCGUAGGCGGGAUUGUAAGUCAAGUGUGAAAUCCCCGAGCUUAACUCGGGACGUGCAUUUGAAACUGUGAUUCUUGAGUCAUUGAGAGGGUGGUGGAAUUGUUGGUGUAGGAGUGACAUCCGUAGAGAUCAACAGGAACAUCAGAGGCGAAAGCGGCCACCUGGCAAUGUACUGACGCUGAGGAACGAAAGCGUGGGGAGCAAACAGG
rnacentral:rRNA from 1 species